GCUGGUAUAUAUGAUGACUCAGUUUUUUCCCCGGCAGAUCGAUCAUGUUGAGCCUACUAUUCUUUGCCAGUUUUUUCUGAUAUACCAGC